rnacentral:lncRNA from 1 species
AGUCUGCAGAAUGCCAUGACUGAGGCCUAGGGCAUCAGCUCCAGAGACUGGGCCUGUGCAAGAGACUGACUCUUGGUUUGUUCCUAGCCUAUGAGCCCCAGCAACUCAGCUGCUUAGCAUCUCUGCAGAGUGCCUGAGCCCAGUCUGCCAAGGUAACUACUGUAGUGGUGGUAGGUCAGCAUCAGCCCUGAAGGCUUAGGGGUCUAUAAAGCAAAGUGGAAGUGGAGGGGUACAGGUAGCUGCAGGGGAGACACCCAGGAUGGGACAGUAGGCUUCAGGCUCCUCAUCCCAUUCCAAGGUUUCCCCUUGGAAUUCCCCCAUAAACAGCCUUACCCUCUUCUGUGAGGAUUCAUCAUCUACACAGGAUAAAUGAAUGGAUUACUGAGACCUGGGUAUCCUGUCAGGUGUCUGGAGAGGCUGUGCACAUGAAGUAGGGCUUCUAGUAAACACACACACACACACACACACACACACACACAGAGUUCACACCGGACAAACUGGGAACAACAGAACAUAAAUUAAUAACAACAGCCAGGAUCAAAGCACUUGACUACAGUGAGAAGCCCCGGGCAAUGCAUUAGGAACUGGAAGAAAGAGAGUGUUUUGCUGCAGUAGAUGACUAGCUUCACUAAAAAGGAGGCCAGAAUCUUUGCUACCCCUCCCCAGCCAUUAAAAAAAAAAAAAGCGCAGAAUUUGGACAACCAUGAAGGGCAAAAGUGGGUGAGAAGGAAGAGAAGGAAGAUGUUCCCAGCCUGAGGUGUCUUCUGACUCCAUUUUAUCAUAAAUACAGGGAAAGGGGUGGGGCUGGUGAGCUGGUUUAGGGAGGAAAAGGCUCUUGCUCCAAGCUGGUGGCCUGAGUUUAAUCCCUGGAACCCACAUGAUUUAAGGCAAAAACCAAUUUCUCCAACUUGUCCUGUGAUCUCUGCAUGUGAGCUGUGGCCCAUGCUCACAUGUACACAGACACACAGGCUCACAAGUACACAGACACACAGGCUCACACGUACACAGACACACAGGCUCACAC